AGAAUCAACGCUGGCGGCGUGCCUCAGACAUGCAAGUCGAACGCGAAAGUUCCCUUCGGGGAACAAGUAGAGUGGCGCACGGGUGAGUAACACGUAGGUAAUCUACCUUCGGAUGGGGAAUAACAAUCGGAAACGGUUGCUAAUACCGCAUAAUGCAGCGGCACCUAAUGGUGACAGUUGUUAAAGCGAGGGAUCGAAAGACCUCGCGUCUGAAGAGGAGCCUGCGGCGGAUUAGCUAGUUGGUAAGGUAAUGGCUUACCAAGGCUACGAUCC
rnacentral:rRNA from 1 species